rnacentral:rRNA from 1 species
GGGCGAGACUCUGAUCCAGCCAUGCCGCGUGCAGGAAGACUGCCCUAUGGGUUGUAAACUGCUUUUAUAUAGGAAGAAACCUUGGUACGUGUACCUAGCUGACGGUACUAUAAGAAUAAGGAUCGGCUAACUCCGUGCCAGCAGCCGCGGUAAUACGGAGGAUCCAAGCGUUAUCCGGAAUCAUUGGGUUUAAAGGGUCCGUAGGUGGAUAAUUAAGUCAGAGGUGAAAUCUUGCAGCUCAACUGUAAAAUUGCCUUUGAUACUGGUUAUCUUGAGUUAUUAUGAAGUAGUUAGAAUAUGUAGUGUAGCGGUGAAAUGCAUAGAUAUUACAUAGAAUACCAAUUGCGAAGGCAGAUUACUAAUAAUCAACUGACACUGAUGGACGAAAGCGUGGGUAGCGAACAGGAUUAGAUACCCUGGUAGUCCACGCCGUAAACGAUGGUUACUAGCUGUUUGGACCUUGUGUCUGAGUGGCUAAGCGAAAGUGAUAAGUAACCCACCUGGGGAGUACGUUCGCAAGAAUG